GCGGCGCUGCGGGAUGCGUGUGGAUAGUAUUCCCGGGGCCUUAUCGACUCUUAGGGAGCUGUCCCUGUCCUUGCCCGUGGGCUUGGGCAACACGGCGCCCACCUACUCUGUAGGUUCCCGGGGUCGAUGUCCCACGGUCAUCGUGGCCCGCA
rnacentral:sRNA from 1 species